CUGAGCCUGUAGCAGUAUCAACCGCCUACUUGCUGAAUUGACACUGACCUCAGUUUUUCUCUUGGCAGAGGAGACAAAACGAGCAAAGGAAUGAGAAGAAGAAACAGCUCAUUGUUUGGAGGAAACUAAGCACCUUGAUGUUUUUGCAGCAUAAGAUAUGAGGCUGGAAUUGGUGUGAGCUUGGAUUGUAUGGGCAUCAUCUCAAACACUCUUUGGCUACUUUGGCACUUCUUGUUUCUACUCAUGUCAUAGCUUCCUAGAAAACUCCAACCAUGGGAGGAACCAACUAUGAGUGGAACGAAUCUCCUAUCUUCUCCAUGUCUGUGCCUGCAGCAACAUGUGUGCUGCUGAAGAAAAAUCAACCACUGGGGCAGAGAGGUAUUAUUUUGUAACUGCAUGAGUAACAAUACAAGUAUCUCACGUGGUGCCUGUGUGUGAAUUAGAACGAGACAUCCCUUCCUCAAGACACUUGGCUUCUCUGUCAGAAAGCUGUGGUGGUAUCUUGAUUUUGCAAGAACAAGGUAAUUUACCGGCAUCUGCCAGAAACUUGCCAUAACAAGUAUAUAAAUCUAUGACGUUUAUGAUGUGAACAGUUCCCCUCUGAGGUAUGGCAACCUUGUGCAAUGCCUGCACAGCUGUACACAGUGGCCCUGAUGACUACCCUCAUUCAGGCACUCAUGGCAGUAAAUGUUUCUUUAGUCAAAUAUAUCAUGCGUUUGCCUGUCUUCUUAAACCCAACUCUUCUUUUUUCCCUUUAUUCUCAGGGGAUAUCUGUUCCUGAUACUUCAAGAAAACUGGAGCCACCAUAUGGGAACUCCCUAAUUUUCCUAUUAUCAUAUCCACAAUCUUUCCAUCAUUUACACCCACCCUUACCCUCUUUCAUCUUCCUACCAAGACCAGUCCCUUUGUGUGGGCUCUGUAUUCCAAUCCUGUCGAUUCUUUCAUGGAAUAUGUCAUGAUUUUAAAUUCCAUAUUCGUCUAUAUGAAAUAGUUACUGCAUGCCUAUCUCCCUAUUAGAUCCACCCCCAGGGCAGGGAUCAUGUCUGUGUGGCUCAGCACUGGAUCCCCAGGGCUGUGUACAGAGUAGGGGCUCAAAAGAUUUGCCGAAUGGGCGAAUGCUAACACCUAAAGUCACCUGCUAAUUGAAGUAUUGCUCUGCCUCUUUCAUUACAAUGGAUUGAAUGACAGUAUUAAUGUAAGCUUGUGAAGAGUAAGGCAAGCCAGCUUGUCCAAUUUAUGUAAAAUAGUACCAUGAGAUGGCCAGAUAGCCAGGAAAUGCCUUGGGGGAAUGUUACAUGUUGAUAUCUACACGUUUAUACCUAUUACUUACAUAAAUCUAUGAUUUCUUUUUCUUGAAA